CCUUCCCUUUUAACUCUCCCCGUGCCUUUUCUCUGCGAUCUCCCUCUCCUUUCUCUUUGAGUUCACUUUCACAACAACAACAAUGCCAAGACUUAAGGCUUGGACGUUGGAUCUCGAAACCCCAUGCCAAACUCGAUACUUCAACUGUGACAGUCAUGAUGCACCCUUCCCUGACGAACUCCAACGACUUUCAUGACUUUUCUGACGUGGGUGAAUGAUAUAUAUAUGGCUUUGGUCGGGUGCAAUAGGGGCCUACGGACGAAUGAAGAUAUGUAUAUAGAUAUAGAUAGAUAGAUAGAUAGAUAUAUAUAUAUAUAUAUAUGGCUUUGAUCGGGUGAUGUAGGGGCCUACGGGCUAAUGAAGGCCUUCGAGCGAUUCUGAUACCACUAUUAAGCACACUAUAUAUGAUAUAUGUUUUAUGAAGUUUUAUGGCAUGUUAGGGUUUUCGGAAAAACCUAUUACCCAUUAUACUAUUGAGUUUUCAUUAACUUUGGGGGUUAGUACAUUGAUGAAUAAUUGUUUUAAUAUUACUUAUAUAUCAACUUAGUUCACUCAUGUUUUGUUUUGCACCCCCUCAUGACCUAGGAACCAGGCAUAUGAUCUGAGCUACGAGGCAUUCCCAUACUAGUGACUUUGUGUCCCUUCCGCUGGGACAUUCUUGUAAUAGCACUUUCUGUUACACCUUCCGCUUGUAUUCUAAAUUAGUAGUUUGCUCUGAACAUGUCAUGUACUAUCUCUAUUAUUUUGUUGGUAGUUGAACUUAUUAUAUUAUUUUGUUAAGGUUGUAUUUGAAUAUUACA